GCGCUCGUGGCGAAACUGGUAGCCGCGCCAGAUUUAGGUUCUGGUAUCUUCGGGUGUGGGGGAUCGACUCCCUCCGGGCGCACCA
rnacentral:tRNA from 1 species